AUUGAACGCUGGCGGCACGCUUAACACAUGCAAGUCGAGCGGUAACAUGACUAGUAGCAAUACUAGUUGAUGACGAGCGGCGGACGGGUGAGUAACACGUAGGAACUUGCCCAGUAGUGGGGGACAACCAAGGGAAACUUUGGCUAAUACCGCAUAUUCUCGAGAGAGGAAAGCUGCCAGCAAUGGUGGCGCUAUUGGAGAGGCCUGCGUCCGAUUAGCUAGUUGGUAGGGUAAAAGCCUACCAAGGCGAGGAUCGGUAACUGGUCUGAGAGGACGACAAGGAACACUGGGACUGGGACACGGCCCAGACUCCUACGGGAGGCAGCAGUGGGGAAUCUUGGACAAUGGGGGCAACCCUGAUCCAGCGAUGCCGCGUGAGUGAAGAAGGCCUUCGGGUUGUAAAGCCCUUUUGUUGGGAAAGAAAUCCAGCCGGCUAAUACCUGGUUGGGAUGACGGUACCCAAAGAAUAAGCACCGGCUAACUUCGUGCCAGCCGCCGCCGUAACAC
rnacentral:rRNA from 1 species